rnacentral:rRNA from 1 species
GAUGAACGCUGGCGGCGUGCCUAAUACAUGCAAGUCGAGCGAAUGGAUUAAGAGCUUGCUCUUAUGAAGUUAGCGGCGGACGGGUGAGUAACACGUGGGUAACCUGCCCAUAAGACUGGGAUAACUCCGGGAAACCGGGGCUAAUACCGGAUAACAUUUUGAACCGCAUGGUUCGAAAUUGAAAGGCGGCUUCGGCUGUCACUUAUGGAUGGUCCCGCGUCGCAGUAGCCAGUUGGUGCGGUAACGGCUCACCAAGACAACGAUGCGUAGCCGACCGGAGAGGGAGAUCGGCCACACUGGGACUGAGACACGGCCCAGACUCCUACGGGAGGCAGCAGUAGGGAAUCUUCCGCAAUGGACGAAAGUCUGACGGAGCAACGCCGCGUGAGUGAUGAAGGCUUUCGGGUCGUAAAACUCUGUUGUUAGGGAAGAACAAGUGCUAGUUGAAUAAGCUGGCACCUUGACGGUACCUAACCAGAAAGCCACGGCUAACUACGUGCCAGCCGCCGCCGUAA